UAUUAAUCCAAUCAUUCAAUUCUUAAGUGAAAAAACUAUAACUAGUGCUGUAUAGUGGAUAUUGAACAAUCAGAUAAAAUUAGAUGGCAGAUGAACGCACGAAAAUAAUAAAUCAUAUGAAAUAAAUUGAAAGGUAAUAUAGUAAAAUUAAAAGUUAAAUCUUUUUCAAGCCAAUUGUAAAGAUUUUUUACCUUAUUAU
rnacentral:lncRNA from 1 species